rnacentral:rRNA from 1 species
AAGCCAUCUUCGGAUGGUGGACAGUGGCGCACGGGUGAGUAACACGUGGGGACCUGCCUGAUAGUAAGGGACAACAGUUGGAAACGACUGCUAAUACCUUAUACGCCCUUAGGGGGAAAGAUUUAUCGCCAAAGGAUUGGCCCGCGUUGGAUUAGGUAGUUGGUGGGGUAAUGGCCUACCAAGCCGACGAUCCAUAGCUGGUUUGAGAGGAUGAUCAGCCACACUGGGACUGAGACACGGCCCAGACUCC